UGAUGCAGCAACUAAUGAUGUGGAACAAUCUGAGGACAAUGCCAAUAAUCCUAUGGAUGCAAUUGAUCCACAGGUUUUGGAGGAACAUUUCCAGUUAGUAUGUUUGGAGUCAUUUCCUUUUUUUUUAACAUUGUUAUGGCUGAUUUGUUUUCCUUGACAUUGUCAGGUUAAUAACGUCAUUCAAACAGAAAUGAAUAACCAACCUAGUGAAACUCAACAAAUUCAAGUGACAACCAUAUCACAGGUUAUUGAUACACAGCAACCUGCUCUCCAGAAUUUACCAAUUAAAACU